CCUGUUGCAAUACAUCCUUUAGCAAAUGCAUAAACCCGAGCGAGUCACUCACACACACACUCGCCUAAACCUCAACCUCGCGCCAAAUCAGUCUCAGACCCCCACCACCCAACCCCGCUCCACCUGGACAUGCAUCAAAACGUCGUCGUGUUGGACAACGGCGGCGGCCUAAUCAAAGCCGGACUCGGCGGCGAGCGCGACCCCUCAGCCAUAAUCCCCAACUGCGUCUACCGCCCACUCGCCUCCAAGAAAUGGGUGCAUCCUUCACCCAACGAGCCCAUGGACCUCACCUCCGCCGCGGUCCGGCGGCCCAUCGACCGCGGCUACCUAAUCAACCCGGAUCUCCAGCGCGAGAUCUGGGCCAACCUCUUCUCCUCCCUUCUCCGGGUCAACCCGGCCCAAUCGUCCCUUCUCCUGACGGAGCCCCUCUUCACCCUCCCUUCCAUCCAACGCGCCACCGACGAGCUCGUCUUCGAGGACUUCAACUUCUCGUCGUUCUACGUGGCCCACUCUCCCUCCCUGGCCCACCUCUACGAGGCCAGCCAGCGGACCUUUAAGGCCCAAUGCAGCCUCGUCGUUGACUGCGGCUUCUCUUUCACUCACGCCGUCCCUGUUUUCCAAAACUUCCCCAUCAACUACGCCGCUAAGCGAAUCGACUUGGGCGGCAAGGCCUUGACCAAUUACCUCAAAGAGCUUGUAUCUUACCGCUCUGUCAAUGUCAUGGACGAGACCUUCCUCAUCGACGACGUUAAGGAGAAGCUCUGCUUUGUUUCCUUAGACGUUGCUCGUGACCUCCAGAUCGCAAAGAAACAAGGGAAUGCUUUCAGGUGCACGUAUGUGUUGCCUGAUGGUGUUACGCAUACAAAAGGGUUCGUUAAGAACCCAGAAGAGGCGCAGAGAUACUUGGCUUUGGGAGACGGUGACACACUUGAAGAAGUGCAGCAAAAGAUGGAUGUGGAUCAGAUGGAAGUUACAAACAAGCUGGAGGAUCGAAAGAAGAUUGAUUUAACCAAGAAUGAAUUUGACUUGACAAAUGAAAGGUUCCUUGUGCCGGAGAUGAUCUUCCAUCCUGCUGAUUUGGGAAUGAAUCAGGCUGGGCUAGCAGAGUGCAUAGUUCGAGCUGUCAGUUCCUGCCAUCCUCAUCUUCAGCCUGUACUCUAUGAAAACAUUAUUUUAACCGGCGGAAGCACACUAUUUCCUCGACUUUCUGAUAGACUAGAGAAGGAGCUGCGGCCUCUUGUUCCUGAUGACUAUCAAGUGAACAUAACUCCUCAACAAGACCCCAUACUAGGUGUUUGGCGAGGAGGAUCUCUUUUAGCAUCAAGUCCUGAUUUUGAAGCAAUGCGUGUCACCAAGGCUGAAUAUGAGGAGCUUGGAUCUGCUCGAUGUCGCAGGAGAUUCUGUUAAUCUUGAAGGCUACAAAAUCAAAUUACAAUCCAAGUUUUCGGAUGAAAUCCAAAAUUGUUUAUUGUUACUCAUCAACCAAACAGCCCCAGCCCUGAAUAAGUAACAAUCCAAGUUUAUUGCUUAUUGAACACGGGCCACUUCUUUUCUUGGGCCAGAGAAGCAACAAAACCAAACAAGCCCGUAGCCCAUCCAAAUCGACAAACUGAGAUCUCAGACAAUCGUUUUCAUAAGCCCUUAGGAGUAACAAAAACCCAAAGCCCAAACAGAGCACAGAAAACCCGCCAACCGUCUCCAAGCCCUAAUCUAAUCCCCGACGCCAAGAAGCUUUGAUUCGAUUCGACGAGAUCAUCUACGAUCGCAAUCACUGAUACGUUAGUGACGUUUGGGUUUGAGGCCUUUGCGAAGAUCGCGUUCAAACACACUCGACGGAUCUGACGCCUUUGCGAUGAUCGUGUUCGAUCGGUUGGGCCGGUUGUUUCAGUAAUUCGAUCCAAUUUGGGUUCGAAGACGAUCGUCGAUGGCGAGGUCGCUGGUUUUGCCCGUGGAUGAACGAUUUCAGGGUCGCGGUGUUUCGGAUGGUGUAACGUUAGGGUUUGUUGUUGGGCAGAUCGUGUGUGGCUGAUGUGCCUGAUCUGGUGGAGCCUGAGUGCGCUUCGGAAUUGAUUCAAGCGAUUCUCUCCUUUUUUGAGACGGAUUGACUCACAGAUGUUCAAAUCUUUACCUUCUCGAUCUUCAUGUGCAGAGGAGGCCACCUCGGGAAGGCAGGACAGGGGCCUCGCAGGACCAAUGUUAAGUGAGACAAAGUUGUAAAACUUGCAAGGUGAACUCGUUCUACAUAAGGUGGGCAGUAGUGUGACCACAAUCAAAGUGUGGAGUUCUACAAUACGAAGUAGCUGCUGCUCAGGAUAUUUUUACUGGGUCCUUGUGUUUUGGGCAAAGGCUCCAAUUUCCUGAUAGGUGUUGUUCCCUGAUGAAUGCAGCUCUUAAAUUUAACGGAGCUUGAACUCGAAGUGGGUUGAUAUUUCAAGUUGGGUUUUCGCGUUCACUUAUAUAUUUCUAUAGAUAGGACUCCUGCAGCAAUUCCGUAAACUUGUUUCAGGCCUUUUUUUUUUUUUCUUCCCUGUAUAUCAAUAGUAGCUAAUGCAGAAUCAUUCUAUAGUGAGGACUUCAGCUAAGGGCCCUCAUUACAGAAUUCUUGAGCUAUUGCAAAACAGAUGUAAGGUGUCAUCAUAAGUUACGUCAGUAACAAAAGUCGUCUUUGUACAGA